GUCGAGCGAACGGACGAGAAGCUUGCUUCUCUGAUGCUAGCGGCGGACGGGUGAGUAACACGUGGAUAACCUACCUAUAAGACUGGGAUAACUUCGGGAAACCGGAGCUAAUACCGGAUAAUAUUUUGAACCGCAUGGUUCAAAAGUGAAAGACGGUCUUGCUGUCACCUAUAGAUGGAUCCGCGCUGCAUUAGCUAGUUGGUAAGGUAACGGCUUACCAAGGCAACGAUGCAUAGCCGACCUGAGAGGGUGAUCGGCCACACUGGAACUGAGACACGGUCCAGACUCCUACGGGAGGCAGCAGUAGGGAAUCUUCCGCAAUGGGCGAAAGCCUGACGGAGCAACGCCGCGUGAGUGAUGAAGGUCUUCGGACCGUAAGACUCUGUUAUUAGGGAAGAACAUAUGUGUAAGUAACUGUGCACAUCUUGACGGUACCUAAUCAGAAAGCCACGGCUAACUACGUGCCAGCAGCCGCGGUAAUACGUAGGUGGCAAGCGUUAUCCGGAAUUAUUGGGCGUAAAGCGCGCGUAGGCGGUUUUUUAAGUCUGAUGUGAAAGCCCGCGGCUCAACCGUGGAGGGUCAUUGGAAACUGGAAAACUUGAGUGCAGAAGAGGAAAGUGGAAUUCCAUGUGUAGCGGUGAAAUGCGCAGAGAUAUGGAGGAACACCAGUGGCGAAGGCGACUUUCUGGUCUGUAACUGACGCUGAUGUGCGAAAGC
rnacentral:rRNA from 1 species